rnacentral:lncRNA from 1 species
GGAAUGGAGGUAUUGAAAAUCAUUCGUUUGUGGAUUUCGGAUAUUUUCGGUUUGGAAUUUGGAAAAACUUAAAGCUACAAAGUUGUAGAGAAUUCGAUUUCGUAUAGAAUGGACAUAAAAUUCAUAUUUUUCUGAUAAAAUGGCUAUUUAUUAUGAAUUAUUAAAGUUUCUGAUUAUUGUUUAAAAUGAUAAAACAUUUUGGAAAUUUCUAGAAUUG